rnacentral:rRNA from 1 species
AUGAACGCUGGCGGCGUGCCUAAUACAUGCAAGUCGAGCGAACAGACGAGGAGCUUGCUCCUCUGACGUUAGCGGCGGACGGGUGAGUAACACGUGGAUAACCUACCUAUAAGACUGGGAUAACUUCGGGAAACCGGAGCUAAUACCGGAUAAUAUAUUGAACCGCAUGGUUCAAUAGUUAAAGACGGUUUUGCUGUCACUUAUAGAUGGAUCCGCGCCGCAUUAGCUAGUUGGUAAGGUAACGGCUUACCAAGGCAACGAUGCGUAGCCGACCUGAGAGGGUGAUCGGCCACACGGGAACUGAGACACGGUCCAGACUCCUACGGGAGGCAGCAGUAGGGAAUCUUCCGCAAUGGGCGAAAGCUUGACGGAGCAACGCCGCGUGAGUGAUGAAGGUCUUCGGAUCGUAAAACUCUGUUAUUAGGGAAGAACAAAUGUGUAAGUAACUAUGCACGUCUUGACGGUACCUAAUCAGAAAGCCACGGCUAACUACGUG